ensembl:lncRNA
AUGGCUAAAUGGCAUGAAAAGCAUUGUCAAGGCUUGUAUAGAUGUGUUCAGGAUGCCAUGGGUCUCUGGGAUGUCCAUCAACUCCAACUGUCCCAGCAGGAAGAUGUACUUAAAAAAAAAACAGAUGAAUGCAGAUGGGAGCAAGAUAACAUAAUACAGAUGAUGAAAGAUGAUCUGGAUACAAUUUUAGAAAAAAUGAAAAUGGCGAGCUGUGAAGAAGAGCUGAAGGAAUAUUUGGAGAACGCCCUUUCUUCUUUAGAUCAAAUUAAAACAAGGAAUGAGACACUCAAGCAAAUUGUAAUGGAUGAAAUAAUGGCUUACCCAAAAGCCAUUUUGUGGGAAUUGAUUUCUUAUAGUAUGUCCAUCAGCCAGCAUUUUAGUGUGAAGGAAAUCUUCAAACAGGUAAAAAGAAAAUUUCCUUUGGUUUAAAACCUUACUGGUGUAUUAAUUUUUCACUUUAGAGAAAAUUUUCAUUACCUUUAAAAUUCAGAUUAUAAAAAGUAUUGUUUUCAGCCAUUGAAUAAAGUGCUUUUGGUAGAGAUAGGAGAGGAAAACCAAAACAUUUCUCAGUCCCACACUUUUAACUCUGUCCUUGUUACAAACGGCAUUUUAGCAAAUUAAUUUGCCUUUUGAACCGAAAACUACAAGGUAACAAGCUUACCAUUAUCGAUUUGAGUGUUACAGGUUCUUUAGACAGUAAAUGAUCUAUUCAAGAUUAUAUCUUACUGAAAUAGAGACGUUUUCAGAAGGGAUGUGGAUUUCUUAUAAGAAAGCAAAUCCAUAUUUUAAAAUGCUGUGAUGGGUGUUUUUUGUUGUUGUUUUGCUUUUAGAACUUGCAAGGUACGAUAGACUUCAUAGUUCAAGAUCAAAAUAAUACCACAACAGUCCGAACAGGUAUUUCUUCUUGGCUGUUUUUCAAUCUGUAUAUUUGGGUUGUAACCAGUAGAACUCUGCUUUAACUGUAGAUGGAUAGUUGAGGCUUCAGAAGCUGAACAUAUGGUGGAACAGCAAGCUGAGAGCAUUGUGCAAGGAGGGGAAAGAGAGGAAAAUCAUAGAGUUUCCUGAGUUGGAAGGGACCCAUAGGGAUCAUGAAAGUCCAGCUCCUGGCCCUGCACAGACACUCCAAUAAUCCCACCCUCUGCAUCCCUGAGAGCAUUGUCCAAACACUCCUGGAUCUCUGCCAGCCUUGGGGCUGUGCCCAUUCCCUGGAGAACUUGUUCAGUACCUGACCAUCCUCUGAGGGAAAAAUCUUUCCCUGAUACCCAGCCUAAUCCUCCCCUGACACAGCUCCUGACACAUUCCCUUGGGUCAUGUAUCUGGUCACAGAGAAAAGAGAUCAGAGCUAUCUCUCUGCAGCCCUUGAGAGGAGCUGCAGACUUCAGUGAGGUGUGACCUCAGUCUCCUCUCUCCAGCUGAACCAAAUGCCCUCAGCCACUCUUUGUAUGGUUUCUGCUCCAGACCCUUCACUAUCUCUGUGUCCUUCCUUUGGACAUUUCUCUGAUAGCUUUAGGUCUUUCUGACAUUAUGGAAUCCAAAAUUGUCCCCAGGGCUUGAAGAGAGCGCAUCCCAGCCCAGAGCAGAGCAGGACAAUGACCUUUCUCGACUGGUGCCAGAAGAUAGGGACAGUUGUCAAAAAUCAGCUGGAGAAACAAGUCUAACAGAGAAACAGAUGAUCUUGGCACAGGAAAUUGAAGAAACAGAGGAAGAAGAAGAUGAGGAGAGUAUUCCUUAUAAAAGUGAAAAAAAUGAGCAUGCAGAACAGCAACUAAGCAUUAUGCAGGUAACUGAGCAAGAGAAUAAGUUUGAAGGUGAAGGCAGUCUUGUCCAAAAUAAGGAGGAAUAGGAGGUCUUUUUGCUGAGAAUGAAUAGAGAAGUCCUUUUUUGUUUAGUUUGUAUGCAAAGCACACUGGGCUCUAGAUCCUUUUAUGGGAAAAUGGAGUGUAUCAAAUUCACAACCAUUCUUCUUGGUCUUUUACCCUGGUAGAAACUCUUUGCAUAAUUUUUUUAAUCUAUCUUUCAUCACAGUGUUCUCAGUCUGUGGUGAAUGAUUUAAACUAAGUAUUUGUACCUAAGUAUUAGUUUUUCAAUUUCCAUGAAUUUAUUUAUAUUUUAUUACCAUAACAAAAACCUUUUAAAACAUUGUUGACUCUGCCUAUGUCCUGCUGGCAUAUAUAAAUAUAUGAAUAUAUAAGCAUAUAAGCAUAUAAAUAUCUAAAUAGAUAACUAUAUACAAGUAUACAUAUAUACAUAUAUACAUAUAUACAUAUAUACAUAUAUACAUAUAUACAUAUAUAUAUAAAUAUAUAUAAAUAUUGCCAGCACUGUGUAAAUGUCCAAAUUAACAGUGAGAACAUCAUUCUAAAUAUCCUUAGGAUUCCUACACUAGCUGGUGCAGUGUUGAUUCUAUGCUGAUAUCUUUAAAAGUAAAGUGGUAAUUUCCAGUCGUUUCCCAGUCAGCAUCUAAGAGCAGCAAGGCAGAAAGUGCUGAAAUUGUCACGGAGGUUUUUUCCACUGGUAAUGGAAACACUUACACUGUUCUUGGAGUUGAAGAGGCAGGAAAGACUGACAUCACAGAGAGUUAUUUUACAAAAUAUGAAAAAGGAGAAUCACUUCCUAUGUACCUGAAAUACGCACAUCUCACAGAAGCCAUGUUUGUCAAGCUGAAUAAAAGGCAAGUAGAAAACAAUUUCUGUUCUUUCUUUCUCUUUAUGUAAUAGACAAAUUUCAGCUAUUUAGUAGAAACAUUAGACUACCGAGGAAA